rnacentral:misc_RNA from 1 species
UUCAAACUGUAUCGAAGUCAGUGCGUAUCAAAAGUUAAAAAAAAUCUUCAUAUUCUAAUUAGGUUUUUAAAUAGCCACUGUCGGGCUCGAAUUUUGCAGCUUAUAAAUUACAAUAGUAAUCAAUCUGGUGUAAAAGUUCUUUAUUUCAACGAGCACUUUCAAAGAAGACCGUCAUCGACUAGUUACCUAGAAGCGGAAACAGAAUUGGAGAUAUUUCAUAUCCCUAAUUUCGACGAGUUACCAGCAAGUUUGUGUGACAUGGGACAGUCAAAUGUUGCAGAAAUCGAUGUGGUGCAUAGUAGAGUACCACAAUUACAACAACCGGAAAUUGUAACAGUACGAACCAGUUCCUUUAAAAGAGCCUGGAAAGGAAUCAAGAACGCGUUCACUUUUAAAAAAUGCAGACACUAAACGAAGUCUGAAUUCGUGAUCUGUAAGAUUUUAUGUUGAUACGUGUAUGCUUAGGUGACAUUUAUGACGAUGAAGAAGAAAAAAAUUGCAAAUUUUCUAUUCAAGCACGGUACAAGUGUACGGUGGUGUUUUAACAUAAUAAAAUAAUUAAUAACUGCAAUGACGACUGAAUAUAAUUUUUUACAUUUUAUAACAACAGCUUUAAGUUAAUAAGAUUUAUCAAUUAUAA